AUCUUACAUUUAAUCAAGCUUCAAUUGUACUUUCUGAGAUUAUUUUUUUCUGAUUUUUUUUUUUUUUUUUUUAAAAUAAAACCUGUGGCUCGCAGUCUCUCAACUUCUACAUCAACUAACAUUGAGAGCCUUAACCAGAGCAACAUGUCCACCUGGAUGCUUGGACUUCAUACUUCCAAAAUGUCUAAACACAAAAGAAGACAGAAUGAAUGUGAGAGAUGAAGAGAAAGACAGCAACUUUGUGCCGUCCCACAUCUGCCAUGCGUGGUAUGAUGAUCUGGGCCACAUGUGGCGGGAAUGAUGGCACUUGAGAGGACUGCACCUGUUUACCAGAUAUGGGCCACAAGCAGGCCAUAGCAAUGCCACAUGUCAGCCAAGAGCAAAGAAAUAAACCAGAACUGGACCUUAUCUGAGCUAAAAAAAAAUCUUUAUACAUUAUUUAUAGAAUCAUCUUAGCAUUAACAAGCCUGUUAACAUGCAGAAUCACUAAAGGAAAGAAGAGAACAGAAAAAAGAGACAAACAGAAACAAAAGAGCUACAACUGACUUCAGCCACAGCCUUAGAUGAAAUCAACUGAAGAUAAAAGACAUUUAAUCUCUCCAGAUCUCUGCUGAGGUGGAUUAAACAACUCCACAAACCUCAUUACAGCCUUUAAUAUUACUAACCAGAUUGACUUUAUUUGUGUCAUUCAUCUACAGAAGCUCUUAUUGAGAAUUAAAAUAAGU